rnacentral:rRNA from 1 species
UACAGAGGGGGCAAGCGUUGUUCGGAAUUACUGGGCGUAAAGGGCGCGUAGGCGGCCUUCUAAGUCGAACGUGAAAUCCCCGGGCUCAACCCGGGAACUGCGUCCGAUACUGGAAGGCUUGAAUCCGGGAGAGGGAUGCGGAAUUCCAGGUGUAGCGGUGAAAUGCGUAGAUAUCAGGAGGAACACCGGUGGUGUAGACGGCUCUCUGGACCGUAACUGACGCUGAGACACGAAAGCGUGGGUAGCAAACAGG